AUACUUACCUGGUAGGGAAGGUACCAUGGUACCAUGAUCACAAAAGUGGUUUUCCCAGGGCGAGACUUGUCCAUUGUACUGUGGAUGUGCUGACCCCUGCAAUUUCCACUAAUGUGGGAAACUGGAAUGCAUAGUUGGUGGUAGCAGGUGACUGUCGUGCUCUCCCCUG